rnacentral:rRNA from 1 species
UACGUAGGGCGCAAGCGUUGUCCGGAAUCACUGGGCGUAAAGGGCGCGUAGGCGGCUUUAUAAGUCGGGGGUGAAAGCCUGUGGCUCAACCACAGAAUUGCCUUCGAUACUGUAUGGCUUGAGACCGGAAGAGGUAAGUGGAACUGCGAGUGUAGAGGUGAAAUUCGUAGAUAUUCGCAAGAACACCAGUGGCGAAGGCGGCUUACUGGUCCGGUACUGACGCUGAGGUGCGAAAGCGUGGGGAGCAAACAGG